rnacentral:snRNA from 1 species
AAACUUACCUGGCUGGGGGGAUUCCGUGAUCAUGAAGGCGGAACCCUCAUGGUGAGGCUUGUCCAUUGCACUUUCGGUCAGGCUGACCCGUGUGGCAGUCCCGAG